CCCUUAGUUUCUAAAAGGCAACCCUAUUAUCUAUUGAUUGACCUCUCAUCCGCCGAAAUAACGCAACUAACUUCCAAUUGAGCCUCUCAUCGAUCCUUGAAAACAAACACCAUGGCUCCUCCCUACAACUUCGUCGAUGCUCCGACAGCCGUGUUUUGGGACACUAUUUGUUGCCCAGUCCCUGCUGACUUACAUUUUAUUCAUGUACUGCGCGCACAACAUUAAACGAUGCCUACAUGAAAGUUGCUAUAAUGGUAUCGUUAAAUACAUGGUUUAUGAUAGCGCAAGUCCUUCCCUUAUUAUCCAUGAAAAUCCCCCCGUAGAGAAUCUGGUCAUCACUCGCUUCCCGCAAGGAGGUGAUCCAUUCGACAAGUUUAAGAAGGUUUUUGUCGAUAUCAUGGAAUGGUCGAUUGAUAAUCCGGUUCCUGCCAACAUUCUUUACAUCUCAGGAGAAACGAAUCCUCAUCUGACCGGUCUCAUCAACAAAUUAGGUAUGGACUGCAUCAACACGCUCUUAUGCGUACCAUAUAGCCUUGCUGCCUUUCCUACUAACGGACGACUUCCAUUAGUCACCACAGAUUUUCACUUCGUUAGAAGCGUCUGGUCCUGGUCUGAGUUAUCUCAUGGAAGACCGCCUUUCUUCACCAAAGGUGCUCGUGGAUCCUGUUAAAAGUGGCUAAAGGAAGAGCUUCGGAAGAAAAAGCAAAUACUCUGGCUUUGAUGGAUAAGGUUACUAAAUUACUAAUUAAGUUAGUGUCAUUUAAGUUUGUAUUUAAAACCUAUCCAUACAUUUGAUCAGGUAUCAAAUCAAAGUUAAUAUAAUUUGCUUUGUAGCUCUCCUUAUCUUUUCCAAUCUUCUUCUCCAAGCAUUCUUCAAGUAUGUCCUAUUAGACAAAUUACCUGCGCGGGAUGAGUUUGUGAUUCCCAACUUUACAGUUCGCAAUAAUACACAAUGUUUAUAAAGUCCACAGUGCCGGUCCUGAGAUAUUUAUGGUCCAAUACGAUAUACAAAAAUGAGACCCUUCGAUAACACAUAAAAAAUUUGUCGAUAAAAAUGUUAAAUUUAUGAUUAAAAAUUACAGUAUCUUUAAAACUAGUAAAAUUUUUUUUUAUCAAUUCUUAAUAUUGGUUUUUUACCUUUUUUUCUACAAAAUCAUCUAUCAAACUUUCAUAAUCAAAUGCUUUUAUCAUAUCUCUUUUAAUCCAUAACAUUGAAGACAAUUAUGUUAAAUUAUUAUAUUCCUUUUAAUCCACUCAUAUUAAAUAACACUAAAGGCUAUAUAAAACUUAGUUUUCUUUUAUUUAGAGAUGGCCCAUCACCUUCUUAACUUAUCGAACACAUUAACAACAUAUUGAUAUGUUAACAAAUAACAGCAUAGAAUAAUUAGGCCCUAAAAAUGUUUAAAUAAAUAAUAGGCCCCAUACUAAUGUAUCACAUGUAUGGGGUCAAACCCGCGCCUGAAAGUCCAAACCAGUGUUUUAAAAACCGGACCGGCAGGUCGAACCGUGAUUCACUGAAGAAACCGAAUCCGGUUUGGUUUAAGUCCUGGAUUUGAAAAAAAUCGAUAAACCGGCUGAAAACCGGUAAAACCGGUGACCCGGAUUAAUUUUAAAACCCGGUUCUUAAAAAUUAGCACAUAAUUAAGUGUUUUCAAUUAUUACUUGCUAAAAUUUAAUAUUUUAUAAUUAGUGUUCAGCUAUCCCUAUUUAAUUAAUUUUUUAUUUUCUUAAGAAACAAUGUAAAAAAUAUAUUUUUGACUCUCAUAUACUAUCUUUAUUUUACUAUAUUCAUAAAAUUUAAGAUGACAGUUAUAAAAAUAAAUAAAUAUGAUAAUUGUAACUAUAAAUCAUUUGUUUUUUUUUUCAAAUUUCAGUUUACAUAGUAUUCACUAUUCAGUUUCUAUCAUAUAUAUAGUUAUUUAUGUUUGUUGUUUAUUUUUAGUUGAUAAAAAGAAUAGAAAAUGUAUUAUAUAUAGAAAUAAAGUUUAUAUAGUAUAAAUAUAUAAUUAUAUAUAUUUAAUUUUUCAUAAAUAGAAAACCCGGUUCGACCAAUUGAACCGGUCCAACCAGUCAACUAGUAGCUACACCGAGUCGGUGUCCGGUCCGGUUUUCAAAACAUUGGUUCAAACUCGUCUACGAAUGUGGACAAUGAAUAGAAAGCUUGGUUUCAUAAAUGGGACCUCGUUGUUGAAGAGUUUUAAGCACUAAUUCAUUGCAGCUUAAAAUGCCACAACAAUAGUAUUUUCCAUCAUAUCGCAGUUACGAACUACAUUUUGGAAAAUCCUUGAUAGAGUUCCUAUCUGCAGCACUCUCCAUGAGGCGAGAAUGCUCCAUAGAAGAUAAUGCAACAUUAAAAUCACACUGAAUGCUCCAAGCAUUUCUAUCUCCCACCACUGAUCCACCAGUAACCUCCAUCUCAUUCCAAAACUCUCAUCUCUCCAUAAUACAGUUUGAAGCAUAUAUGAAAGAGCAUAAGAAAGUUACGCAUGUAGCCUUGUAAUUCACCCAAACCGUAAUAAUUUGCGCAUUCGUAGAGAGCGGAAUGACCUCCACCGCAUCUGACCAGCAAACCCAAAUCCUUCCAAGUCAAUGACUAGAGUAUUUGUUUACACAACUCCAGCCUGGGAAAGUAACAUCAAAAAUCCUUUUAAAAUUCUCUUCUUGCACUUUAGUUUCCAGCAAACAACCAAAAGACAGUUUCGCAGCUUGGAUCCAAAAUCUUACUGCCUUUUGUUUACGUGGCAUGUUGAACCCACAUAUAUUCCAAGUGAAAAUGGAGGACAUUAGUGCUUCCUAGAGGACGCUUUUUUCGGUUGGGAGUGAGCCUUCUCCUGUUGGGUCACUACUUGAACUAGGUCUUUGGAAUUAGCUAUUGCUCGCUUAGCUAGUCAGCCUCUACCACGUUGGGUGCUUCCCUGCUUGUGACUAUACCCUGAAGACUUGCCAGCGAUGUGCGCAACACCCGCUACAACCUUCUCAUUCGGAAUAGCAUAACCUACUUCCUCUACAACCUCACUAUCAUCUUCCUCUUCAUCUAUUUCUCCUUCUUCUCGAAUGUCUUGAAGAACCUGGAAACCAUUGGAGAGACACAUCCAUUACUAGACCUGUGGACUUUUAUAGGGGAGACUGAGUUAUUUUUCUGCUCCGAAACCAAGGACCAUAAUGUAUUUUCAGGAGACAGCUUGAGUACCGUCUGAUCAUCCGCUACUUUAGGCACACACUCGCCAGAUAGACUAGCUUUCCUUGAAAUAGACUCAAGCUCUUCCAUUAACUUUGUAACUAUCUUAGACGGAGUCUUGCCCAAUGCAUCUUUUGACGAAAACCCCUCCAUUUCAACAGAAUCAUUCACCGCUUCAAGAACCACCACAAUAGACAGCUCAACCACCUCAAGAGUGGGCUUUGGUGUUGGACAGUCCUUUCCGACAUGACCCCAUUUGGAGCAAUAUAGGGAGUGGGGUGGGAGCCAGGGGUAACUGAUAGUGAAAACAACAUCUUCUCCAGUUCUACCUAAGAAGCUGAUCUUAUUAGGCAGUGGUUUUGAUAAGUCGACCUCCACCAAGACACGGGCAACAUUGAGCCGGAUACAACGUUCAGUGUUUGGUUCAAGCUUUUUGAACAUCCCUGAAGACCGAGACAGAAAUCUCAAGCCUUUAUUUGAGUAAAGAUAGCUAGGUACAUUCAUGAGCUCCAUCUACAGCGGCAUUGCAGAGAGGUCAGGAGGGGAGCGAGCAGUCUCCAGUGUCCAUUCCCCCAGCAUCAACGGCACAUCCGAGAUAUGCCAGAACUUCCGCUUUAGAAUCCUAUUACGGAUCCAUGCAUCCUAAAUUCUUAAUAGUACCUAUGAAUUGGACAUCGAUCUUGGUCUUCUUCAACGGAGAUGCCCAGAUUGUGUUAACUGUUACGUGAAUUCGAACCAAUGUGAGGAACGUCAUUCGUGAAGUAACCUACAAUGAAGUUCUUCCACAGAGGCUCCACAUCCUCCAUCAACGACGUUGGAAUUUCCACUUCCUCAACACCAUCCUUCACCACAAACUUCGGGUACUCCUCAGACCCUGGGGAGCCGUCAACAAGAACAUCCGAGUAAGAAACCCUCGCUUUGUUUCAUUCUCCCAAUGUCUUGUCUCAGAGCAGCAAAAUCCUCAUUCUUCGCCACCACCUCCUGCAGAUUCCGCCUUUGGGGUUUCCAAGGGAAUACCACCCGAUUGAACCCUUUGGUUCGACACCUCCUUUGAGGUACGGUCUCGAUCAGAUUGUGGUGAAUCGCCAUCGCCGUCUUCCCUCAUUAGGUCUUCCAUAUAACGUAUAUACUCUUGUUUUGAUUAAAUCAUAUUUUAUUUUUGCGAAAAUAUUUUUUUUUAUUGAUUACCUAAAAUAUGAUUAUGUUAAAAUAUUGUUUUGACAGGAAACAUAAUAUUAAGAUUUUAGCCGAAAAAUACAUUUUCGUGAUUUUGGCGAGAAAAUAUGAUAUUGUGUUUUUGAAGAGAAAACAUAAUUUUGUGGUUUUGCCGGAAAAGGUUUUACGGUUUUAGUGGGGAAAAGAUAAUUUUCAGUAUUAAUGAAAAAUGUGUGUUUUGCAGUUUUGCGGAAAAUGCAUUUUUGUAACUCUGACCAAAAAUACAUUGUGGUUUUAACGAAAAUAUGUUUUUUUCAUUUUAGAGGGAAAGUGCAAUUUGCGGGAAUAUGUAUUUGUGGUUGUGUGGGAAAAUAUGGUUUUCGGUUUUGGUGAAAAAAGUGCAAUUUUGCUUUUCGGUGGCAAAAUGCGUGUUAACAGUUUUGGUGAGAAAAUAUAUUUUUGGCAUGAAAAUACGUUGACAGAAAAUAUAUUUUUUCUGAUUUUGAUUGGAAAAUGAAUUUUUGUGGUUUUACGGUUUUGGCAAAAGAAAAAAAUUGAACUUUGGAUAUAAGUUUUUGUUAGAUUAAAGGUAAAUUCAUCUUUUGUUACUUUGGACAGAUUUAGCUCCAUCCAUUUAAAGUUAUCUGUAUUAAUGUUAUCUUAAACUAAAAUUUUAAAACUCUCUUAAAUGAUGUCCCUAUUAAUAAGAAAAAGAACAUAUUCCCUAAUUCUAAGAAAACCAGAUGCCUACAGAGUGAAGGGAAAAUGCAAGAAUCAGGUUGAAGUAUCUUUUUUUUUUUUUUUUUUUUUUUUGUGAAACGAGGUUGAAGUAUCUAUCUAUCUCAGAAUAGUUGGUCACGGAAUGGUUCCGACAGAUGAAAAAGCUGGAAGGAUUACUUUGUCAAGGUUGAGACGGAGAAGCAUGUCUCAAUAGGCUUUUAUCUACUCUACACCUUUAUCUCUCCGUUUAAGGAAGCGUCCAUCUCUAAAGAUGGUGCGUUCAAAACACAAGAAUAAUAAUAAUAAUAAUCAUGAUUGGAUUUCCAUGUUGUCAAAAGCACUUUUGGCGCUUCAGGCUCGGGCUCAAUGCAUCAGUGUCAUCAUGCUGAGAGGUGGUAUGCGAAGUUGCAUGGUUUGGGAUGAGAGGGCGGCCACCAAGCAUGAGAGUAUCCCAGAACCACACAGAUGAUGCAUCCUUAAUAAGAGGCCCUGAUGCUUGUCCAUUAGGCUGUGCUAGCAGUAUAUUGUGCCCUUUCUUCUUCAAUAGAUUAAGAGUAAUAGAUAAGUUAGUGUCUCCCGAGAUUAGCAGAUAGUUUGUAGGGGAAGGAAACUCUUGUGCCCGGGAUAACAUCUCCGCAGUUAUAAUGCUAAAGUCUGAAUACUUAUCUCCUUAAAAAAAAAAACAA